rnacentral:lncRNA from 1 species
UUUUUUUUUUAAUGUUGCAGGCACUCACUCGUACUAGAAUUAUAUAGCACCAAAGCUCAAAUUUCAAAGCACAAUUACACAAGAUAACAGAGGGGAAUUAUGAUGUAAAAGCAUAAAAACCUCUUCGAAACCAAAGGUGUUUUAAGCUUGUAACAAUUAAUAAGGGAAUCCUAUUUCUCCUUGUUUGUCCUUGUAACGAAUCUUCUUUCCAGACUCUUGGAUACUGUAGUCAAGUUUGAAGCAUUUGCUUGUCAUCCUAAAUGCAAAGGGAUCAAUCUAACUCAUUCAUGUGCUUUGCAGAUGAUCUGCUGAUCCUUACCAAAGGCAAUCUAGAUUCUGUUAUAAGGUCUUUUACUCUCUUUUUUCUCGUUUGUACCUAAAUUGUACCCAAAGUAGUGAGCUUUUUUUUUUCAUCUGGUAUCAGCAGGGAGUCCCCUCAAGAAUUUAGCAGGUGUCUGGGUUUAAGCUUGGCAGUUGGCACUCUUCCUAUAGGUAUUUGGGUUGUCCCUCUUGUUUCAAGAAGGUUCACUGACAAGGACUAUGCUCCAUUGAUUGAAAUGGUCACUGCCAGGAUAAAUAGUUGGGUUGCUAAGUUCUUAUCUUAUGCAGGCACGCAGUCAGGCUUCAGCUUCUCCAAUCUAUUCUUUUUAAUCUCCAGAACUAUGGUGUAGGGAUUUUAUUCUUUCUAAGCAUUUCAUUAAGAGGAUCAAUCAACUUUGCUCCGGAUCCUUUUUGACCGGUAAAGAUAGUUCCACAAAAGGGGCUGGAGUCAACUGACAAUUCAUUUUCCGUCCAAAAUGAGACGGAGGUCUUGGGCUUAAAAUCUUCUAACCUGGAAUCAAGCUUGCAUAAUUCACCAUAUUUGGUCUAUAUUCAGUAAAGCAGGAUCACUAUGGAUUGCCUGGAUUCAGGUAUAUGAACUCAAGGGAAGAAAAAUCUGGCAUGCAUUAGUAGAAACUCAAGGAAGUAGUUGGAGUUGGAGAAAAUUAAUUAUUACAGUUCAGGCAGAUGGCUACUCAAUUUAUAACGCAGCAAGGUUGGAGAGCAGUCUAGAUUUUUCCUAGAUCUAGAUAUUCAAUGACUUCAGCUGGAAUGAGAUCAGUCCUAAGCAGCGGAAAGUUGGUUAGGAUAGAUUGUUGUGGUUCACACAUCACAUUCCUAAGCAUGCAGUGAUUUCCUGGAUGGCCAGGCCAUUCAUAGCAGACUUCUUACUAAGAAUCGGCUCCUUUCACGGGGAUUGGAACUGAAGCAGGUUGUAUGUUCUGCCAUUGAAUGCAGGAAACUAGAGGUCAUAUCUUUUUUGGUUGUGGUUUCCAAAAGGGCAUCUAGAAUGAAGAUUCAAACUGCAGAAUAAAUGUCUAUUGACUUGCACUAACUUAUAAUGAAUAAGAUGAAAUGUCCCAUUAAUUAAUUUACUUCCAUGAUAUUGACAAGGAGCUCUCCCUUUAUUCUUUCCUGCCCCACAUGUAUAUUGAUCACAAACGAAGCUGCAAGGAAAUGGCCAAAGGGGCAUUAUAAAC